rnacentral:rRNA from 1 species
CCCGGUGACCAUAGAGUCCUGGUCAUACCCGUUCCCAUCCCGAACACGGUCGUCAAGCAGUACUCGCCGAUGAUACCGCAUAAGCGGGAAAGUAGGUCGUUGCCGGGU